rnacentral:tRNA from 1 species
ACUAUUUUGGCAGAUUAGUGCAAUAAAUUUAGAAUUUAUAUAUGUAAAUAUUUUACAAAUAGUA